AGUAGGUUAGUUUGAGGUUAUUGGGAGGAGUAGUUUUGGCCUUUCGACUGUAAAUAUUUUUACAUUAUUAUUCUAAUUAUAAAAAAUAUUGAAACUGAAAAGUACUCGUCGCGUUCGGAGACAUCGACCAAUUUCCAACACUCUAAGAAUCCAGAACGAAAACGAAAAAAAAUGUUGAAAGUCUUCUUUUUGACAGGGCAAAUCAAAUCCGAAAAUCCAUUACCACUAUGAUCAAAAAGUACAUGUCAAGAGAAUUAGCCAUGAGAUUUACAGCUAUAAAGAGAAUAACAAAUAAAUUAAUUUUCAAGGUUUUUUACUUGUGCUCUUCUAUUCUCGGCGUUGUUUGUGAAAAAUACAAAUCCACUGAGGAUGAACUCAGCUACUUGAAAUUUUUCUUUCAAAUAAACAAUUUUACCUUUAUAAAUGAGACUACAAACAU